GUCUAACCUGCCCACUGAAUAAUUUUAAAUGGCCGCAGUAUACUAACUGUGCAAAGGUAGCAUAAUCAUUAGUCUUUUAAUUGAAGGCUGGUAUGAAUGGUUGGACGAGAUAUUAACUGUUUCAUAAUAAUUUAUAUUAGAAUUUUAUUUUUUAGUCAAAAAGCUAAAAUAUUAUUAAAAGACGAGAAGACCCUAUAAAUCUUUAUAUAUAAGUUAUUAAAAUUUUUUAGAUUUUUUUUAUUAUAAUAAUUGAUUAUAUUUUAUUGGGGUGAUAUUAAAAUUUAAUAAACUUUUAAUUUUUUAAACCAUUAAUUUAUGAAUAAUUGAUCCGUUAAUAGCGAUUAAAAAAAUAAGUUACUUUAGGGAUAACAGCGUAAUUUUUUUGGAGAGUUCAUAUCGAUAAAAAAGAUUGCGACCUCGAUGUUGGAUUAAGAUAUAAUUUUAGGUGUAGCCGCUUAAAUUUUAAGUCUGUUCGACUUUUAAAAUCUUACGUGAUCUGAUUCCA
rnacentral:rRNA from 1 species